rnacentral:rRNA from 1 species
AGAGUUUGAUCAUGGCUCAGGAUGAACGCUAGUGGGAGGCUUAACACAUGCAAGCCGAGGGGUAUAUAAUUGCUUGCAAUUAUAGAGACCGGCGGAUGGGUGAGUAACGCGUAUGAAACCUGCCCUAUUCAUCAGGAUAGCCCUAGGAAACUGGGAUUAAUACUGAAUAACACUAUUAUCGGCAUCGAUAUUAGUUAAAAGAUUUAUCGGAAUAGGAUGGUCAUGCGUCAGAUUAGUUAGUUGGUAGGGUAACUGCCUACCAAGGCGAUGAUCUGUAGGGGGCCUGAGAGGGUGAUCCCCCACACUGGUACUGAGACACGGACCAGACUCCUACGGGAGGCAGCAGUGAGGAAUAUUGGACAAUGGGUGAGAGCCUGAUCCAGCCAUCCCGCGUGCAGGAAGAAUGCCUUAUGGGUUGUAAACUGCUUUUAUACAGGAAUAAACCACUUUACGUGUAAGGUGUUGAAGGUACUGUAUGAAUAAGCAUCGGCUAACUCCGUGCCAGCAGCCGCGGUAAUACGGAGGAUGCAAGCGUUAUCCGGAUUUAUUGGGUUUAAAGGGUCCGUAGGCGGGCGUAUAAGUCAGGGGUGAAAUCCGACAGCUUAACUGUCGAACUGCCUUUGAAACUGUAUGUCUUGAGUGAGAUUGAAGCAGCUGGAAUGUGUAGUGUAGCGGUGAAAUGCAUAGAUAUUACACAGAACACCGAUAGCGAAGGCAGGUUGCUAAGUCUUUACUGACGCUGAUGGACGAAAGCGUGGGGAGCAAACAGGAUUAGAUACCCUGGUAGUCCACGCCGUAAACGUUGGAUACUGUCUAUUGGAAUUUUCAGUGGAUAAGCGAAAGUGAUAAGUAUCCCACCUGGGGAGUACGUUCGCAAGAAUGAAACUCAAAUGAAUUGACGG